UACGUAGGGUGCAAGCGUUAAUCGGAAUUACUGGGCGUAAAGCGUGCGCAGGCGGUUCGCUAAGACAGAUGUGAAAUCCCCGGGCUUAACCUGGGAACUGCAUUUGUGACUGGCGGGCUAGAGUAUGGCAGAGGGGGGUAGAAUUCCACGUGUAGCAGUGAAAUGCGUAGAGAUGUGGAGGAAUACCGAUGGCGAAGGCAGCCCCCUGGGCCAAUACUGACGCUCAUGCACGAAAAGCGUAGGGAGCAAACAGG
rnacentral:rRNA from 1 species